GGAAUAUUGCACAAUGGGGGAAACCCUGAUGCAGCGACGCCGCGUGGGUGACGAAGUAUUUCGGUAUGGAAAGCCCUAUCAGCAGGGAAGAAGAUGAGAGUACCUGACUAAGAAGCCCCGGCUAACUACGUGCCAGCAGCCGCGGUAAUACGUAGGGGGCAAGCGUUAUCCGGAUUUACUGGGUGUAAAGGGAGCGCAGGUGGCAAGGCAAGCCAGAAGUGAAAACCCGGGGCUUAACCCCGCGGAUUGCUUUUGGAACUGUCUGGCUGGAGUGCAGGAGGGGCAGGCGGAAUUCCUGGUGUAGCGGUGAAAUGCGUAGAUAUCAGGAGGCACACCGGUGGCGAAGGCGGCCUGCUGGACUGUAACUGACGUUGAGGCUCGAAAGCGUGGGGAGCAAACA
rnacentral:rRNA from 1 species